rnacentral:rRNA from 1 species
UACGAAGGGGGGCUAGCGUUGCUCGGAAUCACUGGGCGUAAAGCGCACGUAGGCGGCUUUUUAAGUCAGGGGUGAAAUCCCGGGGCUCAACCUCGGAACUGCCUUUGAUACUGUUGGUCUUGAGUCCGGAAGAGGUGAGUGGAAUUCCUAGUGUAGAGGUGAAAUUCGUAGAUAUUAGGAAGAACACCGGUGGCGAAGGCGGCUCACUGGUCCGGUACUGACACUGAGGUGCGAAAGCGUGGGGAGCAAACAGG